UAAGACAGAGGGUGCAAACGUUGUUCGGAAUUACUGGGCGUAAAGCGCGUGUAGGCGGCUCGGCAAGUCGGGUGUGAAAGCCCUGGGCUUAACCUAGGAAGUGCACUCGAAACUGCCAAGCUUGAGUUCUGGAGAGGAAGGCGGAAUUCUCGGUGUAGAGGUGAAAUUCGUAGAUAUCGAGAGGAACACCGGUGGCGAAGGCGGCCUUCUGGACAGCAACUGACGCUGAGACGCGAAAGCGUGGGGAGCAAACAGGAUUAGAUACCCUGGUAGUCCACGCCGUAAACGAUGAGUGCUAGGUGUCGCGGGUUUUGACCCCUGCGGUGCCGUAGCUAACGCAUUAAGCACUCCGCCUGGGGAGUACGGCCGCAAGGCUA
rnacentral:rRNA from 1 species